UCUCUCUACUCUUGUGCCUGGUUUUAGAGAGAGAAAGUGAGGGGAGGAAGGAGGAGGAGGAGGAAGGUGGUGGUGGUGGUGGUGGUGGUGGUUUGGGAGGGAGUGAGGUUGAGACAGUGAAGGGCAGAGAGAUGGAGAAGACCAGGGAGUGAUUAUAUUGUGUCAUUUUAUAAUUGGAUUAGUUUUACUUUUUCAAAUUUUAUUUUAUUUUUUAUUCAUUUGGUAUUUGGAUAAUGAUUUGUUUCUUUUUUGGUGAGGGUGAGAGGGUCCUUUUAUUUUACAGAUGUAAUGCAGUUUGAGGAGGUGUAAAAUCGGUGACUCUCCUUAUCAAGG
rnacentral:lncRNA from 1 species